rnacentral:tRNA from 1 species
GAGACUCUAGUAAAAUAAUUACAUCACCUUGUCAAGAUGAAAUUGUGGGUUGAACUCCCACGAAUCUUA